GGUUCCAAUAACGUCGUGUGUGUGAGGAUCCAUUCGACUACGUCCGUUUAUCUUCUUCAUGGACCCAUUCUUCUUCCUUGCGGGAUCUCAGGCAAGAUGACCAUACCCUCGAAAUCACUUCUAUCUUUGCUUGCUAGUUGCUCGCUUUGUUGCUAUGCCUAUGUUGCGAUACCUACCACUUGCUUAUCAUGCCUCCCAUAUUGAUAAGCCAAGCCUAUAACCCACCAUGUCCUAGCAAACCGUUGUUUCCUAUGUUACCGCUUUGCUCAGCCCCUCUUAUAGCGUUGUUAGUUGCAGGUGAAGAUUCGAGUUUGUUCCAUGUUGUAACAUGGUUAUUGUUGGGAUAUCACAAUAUCUCUUAUUUAAUUAAUGCAUCUAUAUACUUGGUAAAGAGUGGAAGGCUCGGCCUUAUGCCUGGUGUUUUGUUCCACUCUUGCCGCCCUAGUUUCCGUCAUAUCGGUGUUAUGUUCCCAGAUUUUGCGUUCCUUACGCGGUUGGGUUAUAAUGGGAACCCCUUGACAGUUUGCUUUGAAUAAAACUCCUCCAGCAAGGCCCAACCUUGAUUUUACCAUUCGCCACCUAGGCUUUUUCCCUUGGGAGUCGCGCAUCCCGAGGGUCAUCUUUAUUUUAACCCCCCGGGUCAGUGCUUGUCUAAGUGUUGGUCCAAACUAGAGCCACUUGCGGCGCCACCUCGAGGAAACUUGAGGGCUGGUUUUAGCUGUACGUAGUGUUCAUCCGGUGUUGCCCUGAGAACGAGAUAUGUGCAGCUCCUAUCAGGAUGUCGGCGCAUCGGGCGGUCUUGCUGGACUUGUUUUACCAUUGUCGAGGAUGCCUUGUAACCGGGAUGCCGAGUCUGAUCGGAUUGUCUUGGGAGAAGGAAUAUCCUUCGUUGACCGUGAGAGCUUGUGAUGGGCUAAGUUGGGACACCCCUGCAGGGAUUUGAACUUUCGAAAGCCGUGCCCGCGGUUAUGGGCAGAUGGGAAUUUGUUAAUGUCUGGUUGUAGAAAACCUGAAGUUGACCUUAAUUAAAAUACAUCAACCGCGUGUGUAACCGUGAUGGUCUCUUCUCGGCAGAGUCCGGGAAGUGAACAUGGUGUUGGAGUUAUGCUUGACGUAGGUUGUUCUAGGAUCACUUCUUGAUCAUAGUUGUUCGACCGUGCCUUUGCUCUCUCUUCUCGCUCUCAUUUGCGUAUGUUAGCCACCAUAUAUGCUAGUCGCUUGCUGCAGCUCCACCUCAUACCUUUUACCCUUCCUAUAAGCUUAAAUAGUCUUGAUCGCGAGGGUGUGAGAUGCUGAGUCCCCGUGACUCACAGAUACUUCCAGAACCAGUUUGCAGGUGCCGAGGAUACCAUGCAGAUGACGCAACCGAGCUCAAGGAGGAGCUCGAUGAAGAUCUUGUCCUUUGUGUUGUUUUGUUCCAAUUGAUCAGUAGUGGAGCCCAGUUGGGACGAUCGGGGAUCUGUGUAGCUUUUGGGGUAGUCUUCUUUUAUUUUGGUUCCGUAGUCGGACCUUGAUUGUAUCUGGUUGAUGUAAUGAUUUAUUCAUGUAAUUGUGUGAAGUGGCGAUUGUAAGCCAACUAUGUGUCUUUUUCCCUUAUGUAUUACAUGGGUUGUG
rnacentral:lncRNA from 1 species